GAGGGUGGUGGUGUUUUUGAUUUUACAUAGUGAUUGCUGAUGCAUUCUAUGGUGUCAGAAGUUGCACAUUCGUGUGACAAACGAUGCGGCAGAGUGGGGAGUUAUCUCGAGAUGUUUCACUGCUUUUAUAUUCUCUGUGCUUGGAGAUCUCCUUAUGGCAGACCAAAGAUAUGCUUUAAUCGAAAGCCACGACUCACACACCCCACCAACCCCGCCAUUUCGUACACAUUUUGGUCACGGCCACUUUUCCACAACACCAGUUCACCUCCUCUACAAUAAUACUAAUGUUAUGGACAUUGCUUUUGCUAUUGCCUUGCCAGCCUCAACAUAUCAUCAUUUCACGUGCAAUUACGUAUCUUUUUUCUUUUCAAUUCAUAUAUAUGUUUAAAAACAUGCACUUGUACGCAUAAUAAUUAACCAUCAUCUAACAUAUAAUUUAAUUUCUAUAGUUUUGGUGAGCCUGCUCCUAUUUAUCUUAUGGAACAGUUAAACGAACAUGGAGCAUUGUUUGAUGUAUAGUUCGGCCAAAAAGAAAAGGCGAAAUGUGGAGAGUGGGUUAGUUAAUGAUCAGAUAUAUUCAGGGAAACCCAUGCAGCUCACAUGUGCCUUUUGAUUUGCAGUUGGCAACGUCGAAAUACAAUAAGGACAAGUAACAGUUUGCAUGCAUUAUUAGCUAGGUGAGUUAGUAAGAUUGACUGACAUUCCC
rnacentral:lncRNA from 1 species